rnacentral:rRNA from 1 species
AUGACGGGUCACGGGGCCACGACGCGUUACCUCACCGCCGCUGAUAAUGGUGAUGAGCUCAGCAGCAGCAUCGUUGUUGGUAAAUACCAUCGGCACUUACAGUCUACUCCACCUACAAAGAGCUAUGGGAAGGGCGCUGCAGCAGCAUUCGCUAAAGAGCUAGGCUAUUUUAACACAGGCAAACAUGUUUCCCAAAUGAAAGAUCGGAAAAGAGCAACAAAUCCCAUGAAUGAUGAACCAAAAAGGCGUACAGUUUUUCAAAAUAUUUCUGAGAAACAUUUAGAUAUGGAUGAUAGCAAGUUAGAUUUGAAGUUCUGUACAGAAAGUCGACAGAAAAAAAACUUUGUUGAGCCAAAGGACUUGUCCCAUAAACUACAGACAGAAGAUCUUACUUUUGGGAGUUCGACCAAGAGAUGGUACCAUUCCAAGAAUCGGACCUACCAAUAUGGGAGGUUAAAUACAGGAAACGAGAAUAAGGAAUUGGUUUUCUUCAGUGACGAAGAUACAAAACCCGCUAAAUCUGUUGAUGUCAAGGUGGCUAAUAAACGGCAAAUUGGUAACACAAUAGGGAUGUCACAACAGACGAUUCUAAGCAGGGCAAGGAGAAGGUGA